GUUGGAAAGAGAUAAGAGAGAGACCUUGGGGAACAAUUUUAAAGUGGCUCAAUAGCGAUCGCAGAGCCAAACUCAUACCUACAUCAAUGUGGUGCAGAGAAUCUCUAAGAAUUUUUAAUGCUGAAUUGGAGCAAAGAAACUUCAAGGAGGAAGCAAAGUGAAGAACACAGAUUUCACAGAUGGGAUGCCUGGCUCAAAUUCCAGCUUGACCGCUGGUAGCUGUGUGACCCUCGGCAAGUUACUUGACCUCUCUCUACUCAGUGUCCUCAUCUGUCAGAAAUGCGUAAAUGGCGACAGUAGAGCCAGCCUUCAUGAAUCCAGAAAUGUGAGCCACAUUUUGAGGAUAGCAGAGUCACUGCAGAAGCCUGGAUCCUUGCAUAACCUUGUCGAGUGGGAAAAUCUACCCAUACUUGACCAACCACCUAACUGGGGGCUCUACAUCUGAAAGAAAUGAUUUUUUAUCUUAUUUAAGCCACUGUAGUUAGGAGUCAGUUUAUUACAGGACAUUGCCUGGUGUUCCAAC
rnacentral:lncRNA from 1 species